CAGUAGCCGCGGUAAUACGAGGGGGGCAAGCGUUGUUCGGAAUUAUUGGGCGUAAAGGGUGCGUAGGCGGCUUGACAAGUCUUGUGUGAAAUCUAUGGGCUCAACCCAUAGUCUGCACGGGAAACUGUCGGGCUUGAGAAUGGGAGAGGUGAGUGGAAUUUCCGGUGUAGCGGUGAAAUGCGUAGAUAUCGGAAGGAACACCUGUGGCGAAAGCGGCUCACUGGACCAUUUCUGACGCUGAUGCACGAAAGCUAGGGGAGCAAACAGGAUUAGAUACCCCAGUAGUCCCUGUCUCUUAUAA
rnacentral:rRNA from 1 species